UGUUUUUCAUACCAACACAAACCUGUGACUGCCAAUUGGAUCAUAAGGGGAGUGGAAGUUGGAACUCUACUGGAAGUAUGGAAUGGCACAUCCUAAAAACAGAAGUGUAACAGCACAAGAAAUGUUCACAGCUCUGAAUGGUAGAAAUUAAUACCAGAGACAGAAAUCCUAUCACUGAAGCCACAG
rnacentral:lncRNA from 12 species